rnacentral:rRNA from 1 species
UACGAAGGGGGCUAGCGUUGUUCGGAUUUACUGGGCGUAAAGCGCACGUAGGCGGAUCGAUCAGUCAGGGGUGAAAUCCCAGAGCUCAACUCUGGAACUGCCUUUGAUACUGUCGAUCUGGAGUAUGGAAGAGGUGAGUGGAAUUCCGAGUGUAGGAGGUAGAAUUCGUAGAUAUUCGGAGGAACACCAGUGGCGAAGGCGGCUCACUGGUCCAUUACUGACGCUGAGGUGCGAAAGCGUGGGGAGCAAACAGG